AAUUUUUUAGUAUAUUAUUUGUACAUCUAGCUUCCAACUAGAAAGUCUAAUUCAUUAGAAAAAUUA
rnacentral:tRNA from 1 species